AUACUUACCUGGCAGGGGAGAUACUAUGAUCACGAAGGUGGUUUUCCCAGGACGAGGUUUAUCCAUUGCACUCUGGAUGUGCCGUCCCCUGCAAUUUCUCCAAAUAUGGGAAACUCAACUGCACAAUUUGUGGGAGUGGGGGACAAUGUUCGUGCUCUCCCCUG
ensembl:snRNA U1 U1 spliceosomal RNA